rnacentral:misc_RNA from 1 species
GGAUGAAGAACGCAGCGAAAUGCGAUAACUAAUGUGAAUUGCAGAAUUCCGUGAAUCAUCGAGUCUUUGAACGCACAUUGCGCCCCCUGGUAUUCCGGGGGGCAUGCCUGUCCGAGCGUCAUUGCUGCCCUCAAGCCCGGCUUGUGUGUUGGGCCCCGUCCUCCGAUUCCGGGGGACGGGCCCGAAAGGCAGCGGCGGCACCGCGUCCGGUCCUCGAGCGUAUGGGGCUUUGUCACCCGCUCUGUAGGCCCGGCCGGCGCUUGCCGAUCAACCCAAAUUUUUAUCCAGGUUGACCUCGGAUCAGGUAGGGAUACCCGCUGAACUUAAGCAUAUCAAUAAGCGGAGGA